rnacentral:lncRNA from 1 species
AGUCAAAGCCCAGCUGGGUUUCUACUCCACAGGAUCCCUGGGGUGUGCUGCAGCACUGACCACUAGUGAUGACACUUGGUCUGACUCUUUUCUUCAUCAGCUUCAAGGCAGGUACAUAGAGGCCAACGGAAACUGCCUGCUUGAAUCACCUCAGCAGGACCUUCAGAGGAGCUCUUAGAACCAGACAGCCCAGAUGACAGCACUAAAAGGACUGGAAUACAGCUGAUGUUCACCCGGACUAUUUUCACAAGUACGAAUCUUAAAGAGCUGAUUCUUAAAUCACUGGGAUUUCUAAACAAGGAAUAAUGAAGAUUGAAGCUGAAAGUCUUUUUUGCUGCAGUUUUGCUUGCAACAAACUUAAUUUCUCACCUUGUUGCCGUACAUUCUCCCCAUGCUAAUAACUGUUUCUAGAGCUGGUUCUUAACCUGGCAUUUUUUCAAGCCCCUUCAGUUUCAGUUUAAUUCUUAUCAUUGCCACAUCUGUGCUGAUUGCAGGACGAAAUAUCUCUCAGAGAUGUGAGGUAGGGCUCUUUUGGGUGAGUAACUCUCUCUGAGACUUCCCACAGGCAUAAAAAGAGGCUGUAACUCACUUCUCUUACUCAAGAGUUUAAGGAUCGUUGCCUGACACCAUACCAACAUAGUCCAUAAGCUCAGAAGCCAAAAGCCAUAUGUUUUCAGAUAAAUUUCCCUUCUAGAAGUUGCUGGGCCAUUAAAACAAAAAGCUGGUGGUGAUAAAGGUUACAUGCAUGCCCGGAUAAAUUACUGAUGGAUCAAAGCAUCAGCAGAGAGCAAGAUUUCUUAUUUCCCAGGCCUGAGCACCACAGGUAUGCAGAGGUCUCCCUGCCCUAGCAGGGAAGAGAGGUUUAAAGCAUGAGCCAUUUGAGAUGCUUUGACCCAGGGCCCCGAAUUUAGCUCACCUUGGAGACACUCAGCUGACUGCUCGUUUUUUUCCAAAGACGUUUUACAACAGCGGUACAGAAGAAAAAAGUUGGAAAAAAAAAAAAAAACCCAUCAGAACAAUCUUCUUGGCUGGAAACUAACCUCACUUUAGCUGCAGAUCAACUACUACCUACUUAAAAUUGUUCAGCAGACGUUACCAGGGUGUUUUACUUUUUGUCAGGCUUUCAAGAUAGGCCUUCAAAAGCCUGCUUUUACCAUCAGCAGCUCACUGGUCCUGGCAGAGUGAGUUAAAUGCUGCUGCACUGCAAUCACCAGG